UCUGGGAUUAGAUACCCUGUUAUUUAAAAUGUAGAUAUUAAUAUACUGGAGUAAUAAUAGUUAUGGUCUUUAAACUUAAAAAAUUUGGCGGUAUUUUAGUCUAUUCAGAGGAACCUGUUUUAUAAUCGAUAAUCCACGAUGUACCUCACUUAAUUUUAUUAAUUAGUUUGUAUACCGUCGUUAUAGAAUAUUUUAUAAGAAAAAUAAUUUUCAAUAAUUUUUAUUAAAACUUAUAUCAGAUCAAGGUGCAGCUUAUAUUUAAGUAAUAAUGGGUUACAAUAAAUUAAUUUAUAUGGAAAUAAAUUUGAAAAAUUUUAUUAAAAGUGGAUUUGAUAGUAAAAUUAAAUAGAUUAUUAAUUUGAUUUUAGCUCUAAAAUAUGUACAAAUCGCCCG
rnacentral:rRNA from 1 species